GACGUAGGGCGCGAGCGUUGUCCGGAUUUAUUGGGCGUAAAGAGCUCGUAGGCGGCUUGUCGCGUCGACCGUGAAAACUUGGGGCUCAACCCCGGGCCUGCAGUCGAUACGGGCAGACUAGAGUGCGGUAGGGGAGACUGGAAUUCCUGGUGUAGCGGUGAAAUGCGCAGAUAUCAGGAGGAACACCGGUGGCGAAGGCGGGUCUCUGGGCCGAUACUGACGCUGAGGAGCGAAAGCGUGGGGAGCGAACAGG
rnacentral:rRNA from 1 species